rnacentral:rRNA from 1 species
UACGUAGGGUGCAAGCGUUAAUCGGAAUUACUGGGCGUAAAGCGUGCGUAGGCGGUUGCGCAAGACAGGUGUGAAAUCCCCGGGCUUAACCUGGGAACUGCGUUUCUAACUGGCAGGCUUGAGUGUGGCAGAGGGGGGGUGGAAUUCCACGUGUAGCAGUGAAAUGCGUAGAGAUGUGGAGGAACACCGAUGGCGAAGGCAGCCCCCUGGGCUAACACUGACGCCUCAUGCACGAAAGCGUGGGGAGCAAACAGG